GCAGCCGUAGCUCAACUGGAUAGAGUAUCGGUCUUCGGAACCGAGGGUUGCAGGUUCGAACCCUGCCGGCUGUGCCA
rnacentral:tRNA from 1 species